CAAUAUUAUCAGGUCAUUUCAAAGAGGGCUGAUGGGACCAAAUCCAGGGGCUCUUAUCACUGUGACCAAAGAUUG
ensembl:miRNA